rnacentral:rRNA from 1 species
UCCUACGGGGCGCAGCAGUGAGGAAUAUUGGUCAAUGGUCGGGAGACUGAACCAGCCAAGCCGCGUGAGGGAGGAAGGUACAGAGUAUCGUAAACCUCUUUUGUCAGGGAACAAAGGCGGGGACGUGUCCCCGGAUGAGUGUACCUGAAGAAAAAGCAUCGGCUAACUCCGUGCCAGCAGCCGCGGUAAUACGGAGGAUGCGAGCGUUAUCCGGAUUUAUUGGGUUUAAAGGGUGCGCAGGCGGUCUGUUAAGUCAGCGGUAAAAGCCCGGGGCUCAACCCCCGCGAGCCGUUGAAACUGGCGGG